rnacentral:rRNA from 1 species
AUGACGUCAAGUCCGCAUGGCCCUUACGCCUAGGGCUACACACGUGCUACAAUGGAUAUUACAAAGGGUAGCAAAUCGCAAGAUGGAGCCAAUACCCAUAAAAAUAUCCUCAGUUCGGAUUGGAGUCUGCAAUUCGACUCCAUGAAGUUGGAAUUGCUAGUAAUCGCGGAUCAGCAUGCCGCGGUGAAUACGUUCCCGGGCCUU